rnacentral:rRNA from 1 species
UACGUAGGGUGCAAGCGUUGUCCGGAAUUAUUGGGCGUAAAGAGCUCGUAGGCGGUUUGUCGCGUCUGCUGUGAAAACUCGGGGCUCAACCCCGAGCUUGCAGUGGGUACGGGCAGACUAGAGUGCGGUAGGGGAGACUGGAAUUCCUGGUGUAGCGGUGGAAUGCGCAGAUAUCAGGAGGAACACCGGUGGCGAAGGCGGGUCUCUGGGCAGUAACUGACGCUGAGGAGCGAAAGCGUGGGGAGCGAACAGG